rnacentral:rRNA from 1 species
GGCAAGGGGGUCAUCCCGACUUACCAACCCGAUGCAAACUGCGAAUACCGGAGAAUGUUAUCACGGGAGACACACGGCGGGUGCUAACGUCCGUCGUGAAGAGGGAAACAACCCAGACCGCCAGCUAAGGUCCCAAAGUCAUGGUUAAGUGGGAAACGAUGUGGGAAGGCCCAGACAGCCAGGAUGUUGGCUUAGAAGCAGCCAUCAUUUAAAGAAAGCGUAAUAGCUCACUGGUCGAGUCGGCCUGCGCG